AGAGUUUGAUCCUGGCUCAGGAUGAACGCUGGCGGCGUGCUUAACACAUGCAAGUCGAACGAUGAAGCUGGAACUUGUUCUGGUGGAUUAGUGGCGAACGGGUGAGUAACACGUGAGCAACCUGCCCAAGACUUUCGGGAUAAGCCUGGGAAACUGGGUCUAAUACUGGAUAUGACCUUUCAUCGCAUGGUGUUUGGUGGAAAGAUUUUUUGGUUUUGGAUGGGCUCGCGGCCUAUCAGCUUGUUGGUGAGGUAAUGGCUUACCAAGGCUUCGACGGGUAACCGGCCUGAGAGGGUGACCGGUCACACUGGGACUGAGACACGGCCCAGACUCCUACGGGAGGCAGCAGUGGGGAAUAUUGCACAAUGGGCGAAAGCCUGAUGCAGCGACGCCGCGUGAGGGAUGACGGCCUUCGGGUUGUAAACCUCUUUCAGUCAGGAACAAGCCUUCGGGUGAGGGUACUGGCAGAAGAAGCACCGGCUAACUACGUGCCAGCAGCCGCGGUAAUACGUAGGGUGCGAGCGUUAUCCGGAAUUAUUGGGCGUAAAGAGCUUGUAGGCGGUUUGUCGCGUCUGCUGUGAAAGCCCGGGGCUUAACUCCGGGUCUGCAGUGGGUACGGGCAGGCUAGAGUGAUGUAGGGGUAACUGGAAUUCCUGGUGUAGCGGUGGAAUGCGCAGAUAUCAGGAAGAACACCGAUGGCGAAGGCAGGUUACUGGGCAUUUACUGACGCUGAGAAGCGAAAGCAUGGGGAGCGAACAGGAUUAGAUACCCUGGUAGUCCAUGCCGUAAACGUUGGGCACU
rnacentral:rRNA from 1 species